rnacentral:lncRNA from 1 species
UUGUUUUAUCUGAGACAUAUAACCUUAAAUUUUUAUAAAAAGUUAGCUGAAGGAUGAAGGCAUUCCUUCAGAUGGGUGGAGAAAGGGAAAUGGCCUGCCCACCGCUUCCUCCAGCUCUCCAAACAUUAUUAAUGAAACCAAAUCAGAUGUACCACUCUGUGGGACUGUGAAAAUAGCUUUCAGGAACCUCAAGGCACCUUAUCCAAUUGUUGUUCUAAAGCCCUGGCAUUUCUAAACCACUCAAAUACACAGUUCCUAUGCAAAUCUUGUGCCCAAUUUAAUAACACUAUAAAAUCAAUGAACAUUUUCCAUGCUCCAGACAACUGCCAUGAAUCAGCACAGUAAAAUAAAAUGUCCCUUGAAAAACUUGGAACUAAACCCUGGGAUAAUGUCAGUGGGAUAAGAAUAGGCAGUUCUUCUGUUUUGCUGAUUCCUGACUAAUCAAUCUUCUUUAAUAUUGUGUGAGAGAACAGGCGGUCUCUUCUCAUGACCUUCACUCACGUGUUGCACACUUCUCAGGAUUAAAUGAGUCUGUGCAACCACUGCUAGCAAGGAGACUGGCCCAAAGGACAUGUUAGUAAAUGUGCAUUUCCCAUCCCUUCAAGAAUCAUAAGAAUGUGGCCUGCCUGCUUUGUGAGGAAACUAUAAACUGGUAGGGAUAGGCUAUGUUGAAACACAUAUC